AGAGUUUGAUCAUGGCUCAGGACGAACGCUGGCGGCGUGCUUAACACAUGCAAGUCGAACGCUGAAGCUCUGCCCUUGUGGUGGGGUGGAUGAGUGGCGAACGGGUGAGUAACACGUGGGUAAUCUGCCCCAUACUCUGGGAUAACCCCUGGAAACGGGGGCUAAUACCGGAUAGGACAUUCUGCCGCAUGGUGGGGUGUGGAAAGUUCCGGCGGUAUGGGAUGGGCCCGCGGCCUAUCAGCUUGUUGGUGGGGUAAUGGCCUACCAAGGCGACGACGGGUAGCCGGCCUGAGAGGGUGACCGGCCACACUGGGACUGAGACACGGCCCAGACUCCUACGGGAGGCAGCAGUGGGGAAUCUUGCGCAAUGGGCGAAAGCCUGACGCAGCAACGCCGCGAGGGGGAUGAAGGCCUUCAGGUUGUAAACCUCUUUCACCAUCGACGAAGCCCUUUGGGGUGACGGUAGGUGGGGAAGAAGCACCGGCUAACUACGUGCCAGCAGCCGCGGUAAUACGUAGGGUGCGAGCGUUGUCCGGAUUUAUUGGGCGUAAAGAGCUCGUAGGCGGUUUGUCGCGUCGGCCGUGAAAACCUACAGCUUAACUGUGGGCUUGCGGUCGAUACGGGCAGACUUGAGUUCGGCAGGGGAGA
rnacentral:rRNA from 1 species